rnacentral:rRNA from 1 species
UCCCUUAGAUGUUCUGGGCCGCACACGCGCUACACUGAAGGAGGCAGCGUGUACUCCUGGAUCGAAAGAUUUGGGUAACCCGCGAAUCUCCUUCGUGCUAGGGAUUGAGGUUUGCAAUUAUCCUUCAUGAACGAGGAAUUCCCAGUAAGUGCAAGUCAUAAGCUUGCGCUGACUACGUCCCUGCCCUUUGUACACACCGCCCGUCGCUACUACCGAUUGAAUGAUUUAGUGAGGACUUCGGACUGGGACCGAUGCGGCUUUCGGGCUGCGUCGGUAUUCUGGAAAGAUGUCCAAACUGUAUCAUUUAGAGGAAGUAAAAGUCGUAACA